UUAAAAAGAUCAAGUGUGCAAGCGGCUGGCUACAGUACGGCUACCUAUGCUAUUACAUCAACCAUGCUCUGCUCGUCUGGCAGCCGGCGCUGGACGCAUGCAGAUCGUGGCAUGGAUCACUUGUUGAGAUAGAUGAAAUUGGCAAAACGGAGUUUUUUGUCAGCCUUCUACAGUCUAACGAUACUGUGGACUAUUUCACAGGCGGCAGAUACAACGCAACUUUACGAAAAUUUGAAUGGGUCGGCAGCAAGACC